CAAGAACACAGCAGCAGCAAGUCUACAUUGAAAUCACAUUAAUGAUGUGCUGAACAAGAAAGCUGGAGAAUCCAGAGUCAAGGCAGUCCCUGAUCCUGUUGCUGGCUGUAGGAUUCCCAGCUGUCAGAAAUCAAGGAUCCAGGCACAGUGCUGCUUCAACGCUGCCAUGAGAGAGAGGCUGACAGCACAGUACCUGUACAAUUUGAAAACAGGUUUCUGGGAAACGAAUACUUCCUGUGCUGUAUAUAGUGAUGCUGGGUGACGUAGCCUGUGCAUUCAAAUUGGAUGACCUCUUCAACCAUGUGCUAUUAUUGUAAGUAGGUAGAUCCCUGAAACACCUGGAGUCAUGGUGGGCAUUUAUCAUACAAAGCCAUGAGGACUGGUGCUGUGGGAAAUUGAGAAGACCACAGUGAGAAUGUUGCAAAUAAAUAAAUAAAUUAUAUUUCCAAAAUGGCAUAAGAAAGGAUUAUCAGUGGAAAGGGGAACAAUAUUCCUCAUUAAG